GGAGAGAUGCCUGAGCGGCCGAAAGGGCACGACUGGAAAUCGUGUGUAUGCCCCAAAAAGGUGUACCGGGGGUUCGAAUCCCCCUCUCUCCGCCA
rnacentral:tRNA from 2 species